GAUGAACGCUGGCGGCGUGCCUAAUACAUGCAAGUCGAGCGAUUCUCUUCGGAGAAGAGCGGCGGACGGGUGAGUAACGCGUGGGUAACCUGCCCUGUACACACGGAUAACAUACCGAAAGGUAUGCUAAUACGGGAUAACGUAAGAGAGUCGCAUGGCUUUCUUAUCAAAGCUCCGGCGGUACAGGAUGGACCCGCGUCUGAUUAGCUAGUUGGUGAGGUAAUGGCUCACCAAGGCGACGAUCAGUAGCCGACCUGAGAGGGUGAUCGGCCACAUUGGAACUGAGACACGGUCCAAACUCCUACGGGAGGCAGCAGUGGGGAAUAUUGCACAAUGGGCGAAAGCCUGAUGCAGCAACGCCGCGUGAGCGAUGAAGGCCUUCGGGUCGUAAAGCUCUGUCCUCAAGGAAGAUAAUGACGGUACUUGAGGAGGAAGCCCCGGCUAACUACGUGCCAGCAGCCGCGGUAA
rnacentral:rRNA from 1 species